GUUUAGCUCAGUAGGUAGUAGAGCGUUCGUCUCAUAUGCGAAAGGCCGCCAGUUCGAUCCUGGCAG
rnacentral:ncRNA from 14 species